rnacentral:rRNA from 1 species
GAGUUUGAUCGUGGCUCAGAUUGAACGCUGGCGGCAUGCCUUACACAUGCAAGUCGAACGGCAGCAUGAUCUAGCUUGCUAGAUUGAUGGCGAGUGGCGAACGGGUGAGUAAUACAUCGGAACGUGCCCUGUAGUGGGGGAUAACUAGUCGAAAGAUUAGCUAAUACCGCAUACGACCUGAGGGUGAAAGUGGGGGACCGCAAGGCCUCAUGCUAUAGGAGCGGCCGAUGUCUGAUUAGCUAGUUGGUGGGGUAAAGGCCCACCAAGGCGACGAUCAGUAGCUGGUCUGAGAGGACGAUCAGCCACACUGGGACUGAGACACGGCCCAGACUCCUACGGGAGGCAGCAGUGGGGAAUUUUGGACAAUGGGCGAAAGCCUGAUCCAGCAAUGUCGCGUGUGUGAAGAAGGCC